rnacentral:rRNA from 1 species
UAGGGAAUCUUCGGCAAUGGGCGCAAGCCUGAUGGAGCAACGCCGCGUGAGUGAAGAAGGUCUUCGGAUCGUAAAACUCUGUUGUUAGAGAAGAACAUGCAGGAGAGUAACUGUUCUUGUAUUGACGGUAUCUAACCAGAAAGCCACGGCUAACUACGUGCCAG